UGGGGAAUAUUGCACAAUGGGCGAAAGCCUGAUGCAGCGACGCCGCGUGAGGGAUGACGGCCUUCGGGUUGUAAACCUCUUUCAGCAGGGAAGAAGCGAAAGUGACGGUACCUGCAGAAGAAGCGCCGGCUAACUACGUGCCAGCAGCCGCGGUAAUACGUAGGGCGCAAGCGUUGUCCGGAAUUAUUGGGCGUAAAGAGCUCGUAGGCGGUUAGUCGCGUCUGCUGUGAAAACUCGAGGCUCAACCUCGGGCUUGCAGUGGGUACGGGCUGACUAGAGUGCGGUAGGGGGUGACUGGAAUUCCUGGUGUAGCGGUGGAAUGCGCAGAUAUCAGGAGGAACACCGAUGGCGAAGGCAGGUCACUGGGCCGCAACUGACGCUGAGGAGCGAAAGCAUGGGGAGCGAACAGGAUUAGAUACCCUGGUAGUCCAUGCCGUAAACGUUGGGCACUAGGUGUGGGGUCCAUUCCACGGAUUCCGUGCCGCAGCAAACGCAUUAAGUGCCCCGCCUGGGGAGUACGGCCGCAAGGCUAAAACUUAAAUGAAUUGACGGGGUCAUAGCUGUUUCC
rnacentral:rRNA from 1 species